CUGGCUCAGGAUGAACGCUGGCGGCGUGCCUAACACAUGCAAGUCGAACGGGGUUAUGCGACAAUUCUUCGGAAGCGAUGCAUAACUAGUGGCGGACGGGUGAGUAACACGUGAGCAACCUGCCUUUCAGAGGGGGAUACCGUUUGGAAACGAACGCUAAUACCGCAUAACGCAGCGUGACCGCAUGAUCGUGCUGCCAAAGGAGCGAUCCGCUGAAAGAUGGGCUCGCGGCUGAUUAGAUAGUUGGUGGGGUAACGGCCUACCAAGUCGACGAUCAGUAGCCGGACUGAGAGGUUGAACGGCCACAUUGGGACUGAGACACGGCCCAGACUCCUACGGGAGGCAGCAGUGGGGAGUAUUGCGCAAUGGGGGCAAACCCCCUGACGCAGCAACGCCGCGUGUGGGAAGAAGGUCUUCGGAUUGUAAACCAUUGUCUUCGGUGACGAUAAUGACGGUAGCCGAGGAGGAAGCUCCGGCUAACUACGUGCCAGCCGCCGC
rnacentral:rRNA from 1 species